GAUUAAUUAGUUUAAUAAAAACAGAUGUUUUGAAAACAUCAAAUAAGAAAAUUCUUAUUAAUCU
rnacentral:tRNA from 1 species